rnacentral:rRNA from 1 species
AUUGAACGCUGGCGGCAGGCCUAACACAUGCACGUCGAGCGGAGGGCCGGUCGGGUGAGUAAUACUAAGGAAUCUGCAUGUUAGUGGGGGAUAACGUCCGGAAAUGGGCGCUAAAGCUGCAUACUAUCGGAUGAGCCUCGGUCGGAUUAGCGAGUUGGUGGGGUAAGGGCCAACCAAGGCGACGACCCCUAACUGGUCUGAGAGUAUGAUCAGUCACACUGGAACUGAGACACGGUCCAGACUCCUACGGGAGGCAGCAGUGGGGAAUAGUGGACAAUGGGCGAAAGCCUGAUGCAGCCAUGCCGCGUGUGUGAAGAAGGUCUUCGGGUUGUAAAGCACUUUAAGGUGGGAGGCGUUACCCACAGAAUAAGCACCGGCUAACUUCGUGCCAGCAGCCGCGGUAAUAC